GGCGCGCUAGUCUAGGGGUUAGGACGUUGGAUUUUGAUUCGUUGAACCUGAAUUCCAAAGACACCAGUUCGAAUCUGGUGCGGGCCU